rnacentral:rRNA from 1 species
CCUACGGGAGGCAGCAGUGAGGAAUAUUGGACAAUGGGCGAGAGCCUGAUCCAGCCAUGCCGCGUGCAGGAAGACUGCCCUAUGGGUUGUAAACUGCUUUUAUACGGGAAGAAACACRCCCRCGUCAGGGAAUUUGGCGGUACCGUACGAAUAAGGAUCGGCUACU